rnacentral:rRNA from 1 species
AGCAGCCGCGGUAAUUCCAGCUCCAAUAGCGUACAUUAAAGUUGUUGCAGUUAAAAAGCUCGUAGUUGAAUUUCGGGGUUUAUCCGUUGGUCGGGCUUUUGGGUCUGUACUGGCGUGAUGGAUUCCUACCUUCUGAAUAACCAGCAUGUCAUUAAUUUGGUGCGCUGGGGAAGCAGGACUGUUACCUUGAAAAAAUUAGAGUGCUUAAAGCAGGCUAUUGCCUGAAUACAUUAGCAUGGAAUAAUGAAAUAGGACGCAUGGUUCUAUUUUGUUGGUUUCUAGGAUCACCGUAAUGAUUAAUAGGGAUAGUUGGGGGCAUUAGUAUUCAAUUGUCAGAGGUGAAAUUCUUGGAUUUAUUGAAGACUAACUUCUGCGAAAGCAUUUGCCAAGAAUGUUUUCAUUAAUCAAGAACGAAAGUUAGGGGAUCGAAGACGAUCAGAUACCGUCGUAGUCUUAACCAUAAACUAUGCCGACUAGGGAUCGGACGAUGUUAAUUUUUUAAUGACUCG